rnacentral:hammerhead_ribozyme from 1 species
GAACUGCUGAAGAGUCCCAAACUAGGACGAAACAGUUGUCCAGUAC